UACGUAGGGGGCAAGCGUUGUCCGGAAUCAUUGGGCGUAAAGCGCGCGUAGGCGGCCCGGUAAGUCCGCUGUGAAAGUCGGGGGCUCAACCCUCGGAUGCCGGUGGAUACUGUCGGGCUUGAGUGCGGAAGAGGCGAGUGGAAUUCCUGGUGUAGCGGUGAAAUGCGCAGAUAUCAGGAGGAACACCGAUGGCGAAGGCAGGUCACUGGGCCGCAACUGACGCUGAGGAGCGAAAGCAUGGGGAGCGAACAGG
rnacentral:rRNA from 1 species